AAAAGAAGUGGCAAUGACAACUCUGGAAGUUGCUCUCCUUCAUGCUACAUUGAGCAAAUGUACAGAAACAGAAUGUUUUCUCAGCCAAUCCGGAGGUGUAGAAAAAUAUUCAUAGAUAAGCAAAGUUUGCUGGUUAUACAAAAUGGCUUAGCUUUUAUACCAAGAAAAUUCAAAUCCAGUCUCCGCAAAACAUUAAAGCAUUCUGAACUUUGUAAGAGUAUAGUACCUGAGAUAUUUGUUCGGUCCUGCAUAGGACUAAUGCUGGUUAUGGCUGUCAAUGCUGCUGUUGUCAAAGCGCCUUCUUUUGCUCUCACUGAAGAAAAUCUACUUUUCUUGGAGGCAUGGAGAACAAUUGACCGUGCAUAUAUUGACAAGACCUUCAAUGGUCAAAGUUGGUUUAGGUACCGAGAAG
rnacentral:misc_RNA from 1 species